rnacentral:rRNA from 1 species
GAUGAACGCUAGCGGCAGGCUUAACACAUGCAAGUCGAGGGGUAUAGCACUUCGGUGCUAGAGACCGGCGCACGGGUGCGUAACGCGUAUGCAAUCUACCUUUUUACAGAGGGAUAGCCCAGAGAAAUUUGGAUUAAUACCUCAUAGUAUUAUGAAAUGGCAUCUAUUUUAUUAAUUAAAGUCACAACGGUAAAAGAUGA